GAGUUUGAUCUUGGCUCAGAUUGAACGCUGGCGGCAUGCCUUACACAUGCAAGUCGAACGGCAGCACGGGAGCUUGCUCCUGGUGGCGAGUGGCGAACGGGUGAGUAAUGCAUCGGAACGUAUCCUGGAGUGGGGGAUAACGUAGCGAAAGUUACGCUAAUACCGCAUAUUCUGUGAGCAGGAAAGCGGGGGACCUUCGGGCCUCGCGCUCUUGGAGCGGCCGAUGUCGGAUUAGCUAGUUGGUGAGGUAAAGGCUCACCAAGGCGACGAUCCGUAGCAGGUCUGAGAGGAUGAUCUGCCACACUGGAACUGAGACACGGUCCAGACUCCUACGGGAGGCAGCAGUGGGAUUUUGGACAAUGGGGGCAACCCUGAUCCAGCCAUGCCGCGUGAGUGAAGAAGGCCUCGG
rnacentral:rRNA from 1 species